AUGAGACUGUUGGGUCUUCUGUACCUGGUGACAGCGCUUCUUGGUGUCCUGUCCCAGAUCCAGCUUCAGGAGUCAGGACCUGGCCUGGUGAAGCCCUCACAGUCGCUGUCCCUCACUUGUUCUGUCACUGGUGACUCCAUGACCAGUGGUUACUACUGGAGCUGGAUCAGGCAGUUCCCAGGGAAGAAGCUGGAGUGGAUGGGGUACAUAGGUUAUAGUGGUGGCACCGACUACAACCCAUCCCACAAGAACCGCAUCUCCAUCACCAGAGACACAGCCAAGAACCAGUUCUUCCUGCAGCUGAACUCUGUGACCACUGAGGACACAGCCACAUAUUACUGUGCAAGAGACACAGUGAGGGGACCUCAGCAUGAGCCCAGACAAAAACCUCCCUGCAGAGGAGCUCUGGGCCAGCAGGGUCACUGA